UAGGGAAUCUUCCACAAUGGGCGCAAGCCUGAUGGAGCAACACCGCGUGAGUGAAGAAGGGUUUCGGCUCGUAAAGCUCUGUUAGUUAAAGAAGAACACGUAUGAGAGUAACUGUUCAUACGUUGACGGUAUUUAACCAGAAAGUCACGGCUAACUACGUGCCAC
rnacentral:rRNA from 1 species